AUUGAACGCUGGCGGCAGGCCUAACACAUGCAAGUCGAACGGUAGCACAGAGAGCUUGCUCUCGGGUGACGAGUGGCGGGCGGGUGAGUAACGUCUGGGAAACUGCCCGAUGGAGGGGGAUAACUACUGGAAACGGUAGCUAAUACCGCAUAACGUCGCAAGACCAAAGUGGGGGACCUUCGGGCCUCACACCAUCGGAUGUGCCCAGAUGGGAUUAGCUAGGAGGUGGGGUAAUGGCUCACCUAGGCGACGAUCCCUAGCUGGUCUGAGAGGAUGACCAGCCACACUGGAACUGAGACACGGUCCAGACUCCUACGGGAGGCAGCAGUGGGGAAUAUUGCACAAUGGGCGCAAGCCUGAUGCAGCCAUGCCGCGUGUAUGAAGAAGGCCUUCGGGUUGUAAAGUACUUUCAGCGGGGAGGAAGGCGGUGAAGUUAAUAGCUUCACCGAUUGACGUUACCCGCAGAAGAAGCACCGGCUAACUCCGUGCCAGCCGCCGCGGUAAGAC
rnacentral:rRNA from 1 species